ACGGAAGGCAGCAGUGAGGAAUAUUGGUCAAUGGGCGGAAGCCUGAACCAGCCAAGUCGCGUGAAGGAUGAAGGUAUUAUGUAUUGUAAACUUCUUUAGUCGCAGAGAAAUAAGGAUCUCGUGAGGUCUGAUGCUAGUAUGCGAAGAAUAAGGAUCGGCUAACUCCGUGCCAGCAGCCGCGGUAAUACGGAGGAUCCGAGCGUUAUCCGGAUUUAUUGGGUUUAAAGGGUGCGCAGGUGGUCUUUUAAGUCAGUGGUCAAAUCGCGGAGCUCAACUCCGUCCCGCCAUUGAUACUGGGAGACUUGAUUGCGGUCGAGGUUGGCGGAAUUCGUCGUGUAGCGGUGAAAUGCAUAGAUAUGACGAAGAACACCGAUUGCGUAGGCAGCUGACCAGGCCGUAAAUGACGCUCAUGCACGAAAGUGCGGGGAUCAAACAGGAUUAGAUACCCUGGUA
rnacentral:rRNA from 1 species